rnacentral:rRNA from 1 species
UAAGCAUAUCAAUAAGCGGAGGAAAAGAAACUAACAAGGAUUCCCCUAGUAACUGCGAGUGAAGCGGGAAAAGCUCAAAUUUAAAAUCUGGCGGUCUCUGGCCGUCCGAGUUGUAGUCUGGAGAAGUGCUUUCCGCGCUGGACCGUGUAUAAGUCUCUUGGAACAGAGCGUCAUAGAGGGUGAGAAUCCCGUCUUUGACACGGACUACCAGUGCUUUGUGAUGCGCUCUCAAAGAGUCGAGUUGUUUGGGAAUGCAGCUCAAAAUGGGUGGUGAAUUCCAUCUAAAGCUAAAUAUUGGCGAGAGACCGAUAGCGAACAAGUACCGUGAGGGAAAGAUGAAAAGCACUUUGGAAAGAGAGUUAAACAGUACGUGAAAUUGCUGAAAGGGAAACGCUUGAAGUCAGUCGCGUUGUCCGGAACUCAGCCUUGCUUUUGCUUGGUGCACUUUCCGGAUGACGGGUCAGCAUCGAUUUUGACCGUCGGAAAAGGGCUGGAGUAAUGUGGCACCUCCGGGUGUGUUAUAGACUCUGGUCGCAUACGGCGGUUGGGAUCGAGGAACGCAGCGCGCCGCAAGGCAGGGGUUCGCCCACUUUCGCGCUUAGGAUGCUGGCAUAAUGGCUUUAAACGACCCGUCUUGAAACACGGACCAAGGAGUCUAACAUACCUGCAAGUGUUUGGGUGGUAAACCCGAGCGCGUAAUGAAAGUGAAAGUUGAGAUCCCUGUCGUGGGGAGCAUCGACGCCCGGACCAGACGUUCUCUGACGGAUCCGCGGUAGAGCAUGUAUGUUGGGACCCGAAAGAUGGUGAACUAUGCCUGAAUAGGGUGAAGCCAGAGGAAACUCUGGUGGAGGCUCGUAGCGAUUCUGACGUGCAAAUCGAUCGUCAAAUUUGGGUAUAGGGGCGAAAGACUAAUCGAAC